GAUUGGAUGCGGGGGCUUCACCGCCUACCAAAUCCUGACAAACUCCGAAUGCCAGUAGUAUGAUUUACAGCAGUGAGUGACUGGGUGCUAAUGUCCAGUCGCAAAAGAGGAACAACUCAGACCAGCAACUAAGGUCCCGAAGAAUAUGCUAAGUUGAUCUAACGAUGUUUUGUUGCAGAGACAGCUAGGAUGUUAGCUUGGAAGCAGCUAUUCAUUCAAAGAGUGCGUAACAGCUCACUAGUCGAGCGACAGAGCGUGGAUAAUAAACGGGCAUCAAGCAUAUCACCGAAGUUCUGGGCGCGAGAGCGCGGUAGGGGAGCAUUCCAUUCAGCGUCGAAGCAGUUUCGUGAGGAAUUGUGGAGCGUAUGGAAAAGCAAAUGUAGGCAUGAGUAACGAUAAUGCGGGAGAGUAACCCGCACACCGCAAGACCAAGGUUUCCUGAUCAACGCUAAUCGGAUCAGGGUUAGUCGGGUCCUAAGGGUAAGCCGAACGGCGAUCUCGAUGGAUAAUCGGUUAAUAUUCCGAUACUAACAUAUACCUCGAUGGAGAGACGAAGGAACGUAAGUGCCGCCACCUGACGGAAUAGGUGGUUAAAGGGCGUAGGUAUAGGGGCAGAUUAAGAGUUAGUCCUUGCUGAAACCUGACAGUACAGAGAGCCUACGGGCAAUUUGAUAGAGCACCCAAGUCGACUUCCGAGAAAAUCUUCUAAGUUAUAGUAUAUGUUACCCGUACCGUAAACCGACACAGGUGGUCGAGGAGAGUAUCCUAAGGUGCUCGAGUGAAUCACGGUUAAGGAACUAGGCAAAUUAACCCCGUAACUUCGGGAAAAGGGGUCCCUAUGAAAGUAGGGCGCAGCGAAGAGGUCCAGGCGACUGUUUAUCAAAAACACAGGGCUCUGCAAAUUCGAAAGAAGACGUAUAGGGCCUGACACCUGCCCGGUGCUGGAAGGUUAAGAGGGGAUGUCAUCGCAAGAGAAGCAUUGAAUCGAAGCCCCAGUAAACGGCGGCCGUAACUAUAACGGUCCUAAGGUAGCGAAAUUCCUUGUCGGGUAAGUUCCGACCUGCACGAAUGGUGUAACGAUCUGGACACUGUCUCAACCGUGAGCUCGGUGAAAUUGUAGUCCCGGUGAUGAUGCCGGGUACCCGCAACGGGACGAAAAGACCCCGUGAACCUUUACUAUAGCUUAACGCUGAAUUUGGGUACACAAUGUGUAGGAUAGGCCGGAGGCUUUGAAGCGGGCACGCCAGUGUUCGUGGAGCCGACGUUGAAAUACGGCCCUUUGUGUAUUUGAGUUCUAACCCUGCGAAGGGGACACCGUUUGGUGGGUAGUUUGACUGGGGUGGUCGCCUCCAAAAGCGUAACGGAGGCUUCCCAAGGUACCCUCAGCACGAAUGGUAACCGUGCGCGGAGUGCAAUAGCAUAAGGGUGCUUGACUGUGAGACAUACAAGUCGACCAGGUACGAAAGUAGGGUAUAGUGAUCCGGUGGUUCUGCGUGGACUGGCCAUCGCUCAAAGGAUAAAAGGUACUCCGGGGAUAACAGGCUGAUCGCCGCCAAGAGCUCAUAUCGACGCGGCGGUUUGGCACCUCGAUGUCGGCUCGUCACAUCCUGGGGCUGGAGAAGGUCCCAAGGGUUCGGCUGUUCGCCGAUUAAAGUGGCACGCGAGCUGGGUUCAGAACGUCGUGAGACAGUUCGGUCUCUAUCUGUUGCGGGCGUAGGAAGAUUGAGGGGUCCUGACUUUAGUACGAGAGGACCGAGUUGGACGAACCUCCGGUGUAUCGGUUAUGCUGCCAAGUGUACUGCCGAGUAGCCGCGUUCGGUCUGGAUAAGCGCUGAAAGCAUCUAAGCGCGAAGCCAUCCCCAAGAUAAGUCUUCCCUUGAGGGGCGUAGGAGACGACUACGUUGAUAGGCUGCAGGUGUAAAGACAGUAAUGUCAAAGCCGAGCAGUACUAAUUACCCGAGAGGCUUUUUU
rnacentral:rRNA from 1 species